UACGAAGGGGGCUAGCGUUGCUCGGAAUCACUGGGCGUAAAGCGCACGUAGGCGGCUUACUAAGUCAGGGGUGAAAUCCUGGAGCUCAACUCCAGAACUGCCUUUGAUACUGGUGAGCUUGAGUCCGGAAGAGGUGAGUGGAACUGCGAGUGUAGAGGUGAAAUUCGUAGAUAUUCGCAAGAACACCAGUGGCAAAGGCGGCUCACUGGUCCGGUACUGACGCUGAGGUGCGAAAGCGUGGGGAGCAAACAGG
rnacentral:rRNA from 1 species